ensembl:lncRNA novel transcript
UUGAGACUGAUCUCCCAUUUCCUUGGCUGCAACACCCAAUUAUAGCCUUCUUGGCAAUAAUUGUUGUCUCAGUGAUUGGCUUUCUUUGUGGCCAGCAGCAGGACCUAGACUGAACACCUGAUUUUCUGGUCUCUCAAAACAGAAUUUUGGCUUUUCCAGAUUGGCAAAUAGCUCUUAGUUAAAUGUGGCUUUCAAGUAUGUGUUUACUCCUUUAUGUUUCAAUUUUCCUUCAAUUUUGGCCUGGAGAGUGUCUCAACUAAGAAGCUAAAAAGGGAAAGAAAAGAAAAGCAGUUAUGUUUUUUUCCCCUCCGGCCUAUACAAACACAUACACACCAAGCCUACAUCUUUCUCCCGAGCUGGAUGCUUCCUGCCCUCGAACAUCGGACUCCAAGUUCUUCAAGUUUUGGGACUCAGUCUGGCUCUCUUUGCUCCUCAGCUUGCAGACGCCUAUUGUGGGACCUUGUGAUUGUCAGUUGCCACAGCCGCUUCAACCUUCUGCAACCAGCAAGUCAAUAGUCAUCAACAUGGUGGCCAGACCAUCUACCAACAAAAAGAUCACAAUUUGCUGAAGGCUCCAGGACUUGAGUGGAUGAGUCCUAAAUACAAUCAUAUUUAUCAUUAUAAGAAGAAGGCAACUGAAGAUUUUAAACACACAGGGAAGAAGGCAAUGUGAAGUUGGA